rnacentral:rRNA from 1 species
CUCUCGGCAACGGAUAUAUAGGCUCUCGCAUCGAUGAAGAACGUAGCGAAAUGCGAUACUUGGUGUGAAUUGCAGAAUCCCGCGAAUCAUCGAGUUUUUGAACGCAAGUUGCGCCCGAGGCCUCGGCCGAGGGCACGUCUGCCUGGGCGUCACGCACCGUUGC